UCACCCUAUCUGAGACUGGCGUCUCUGCUCCCAUGAGGCCUUUGGGGCCAGCAGAGCCAAGUCUGCUGCUCGCUUCCAGGGUAUUUACUGCUGGUGUAUGAAAUGCCAAUAUGGACAGUGCUGUCCACCCAUCGGACAGGCAGACUAAUGGCUGUUUAUUGCACACGAUGCCCCUGUAGGUGAAACUCCAGGGAGCCCUGGGCCCUCUGAGGAAGGAGCUGGAAGAGGCCCUGGCUCUGACGUCUAAAGAGGAGGAGAAAACCACAGAGUGGCAGAGAAAAGUGAAAAAUAAGAGAGAGACGAUUGCAGGUGAAUUUAACAGACUGCACAUGCUACUGAGAGCGGAGGAGCAGCUGCUUCUGCAGAGACUUUAGGAGGAGGAGAGGGAGACUCUGCAGAGACUACAGGAAAAUGUCACCAAACUCUCCCGGCAAAGCUCCUCUCUGCAGCAGCUGAUCACAGACAUCGAGGAGAAGUGUCAGCAACCAGUUGUCGAGCUGCUAAAGGAUGUGAAAAGCACAUUGAGCAGGAGUGAGAAUGUGAAACUCCAGGAACCAGAAGCUGUUUCUACUGAUCUGAAGAACGUGUAUAAAAUUUCCCUUGACAUGAAUGAAGUGCUGAAGAAAUUCGGAGGUGAGUGGAGUCUACUGGGACAUUCAGCUGUAUUGUGCCUGGGGAUCUGGACAGCGCCUGGGACCCCAGGACACGCAUGGACCCAGCUGACAGGCUUGGAGCUGUGUGGUAGCUGGAGGCUGGUACUUGCCCAGGUGUCUGACCAGGCCCCAUCACUCUGACAUCCUGAUCCCUCCAUGGCUGAGUUAAUGGGUGUCCCUGAGCCAGGUGCUGUGAGGCCUGGACUGGGCCCAUUGUGCUGGGAGCAGCACAGACUGGUAACAGAUGACCUGUCUGUGCCUCUCUCCUGGGACAUGUGAGGGCUGCAUGGUGUGGCCAC